rnacentral:rRNA from 1 species
AACGAACGCUGGUGGCAUGCCUAACACAUGCAAGUCGAACGAGACCUUCGGGUCUAGUGGCGCACGGGUGCGUAACGCGUGGGAACCUGCCCUUAGGUUCGGAAUAACUCCCCGAAAGGGGUGCUAAUACCGGAUAAUGUCUUCGGACCAAAGAUUUAUCGCCUUUGGAUGGGCCCGCGUUGGAUUAGCUAGUUGGUAGGGUAAAAGCCUACCAAGGCGACGAUCCAUAGCUGGUCUGAGAGGAUGAUCAGCCACACUGGGACUGAGACACGGCCCAGACUCCUACGGGAGGCAGCAGUGGGGAAUAUUGGACAAUGGGCGAAAGCCUGAUCCAGCAAUGCCGCGUGAGUGAUGAAGGCCUUAGGGUUGUAAAGCUCUUUUACCCGGGAUGAUAAUGACAGUACCGGGAGAAUAAGCUCCGGCGAACUCCGU